UUUCGCAAUGCCCGAAAGGGUGACGAAGCGACGCCGCGUGUGGGAAGAAGGCCUUCGGGUUGUAAACCACUGUCGGGAGUUAAGAAAUGUAAGGGUGUUAAUAGCAUUCUUACUUGACUAAGGCUCCGGAGGAAGCCACGGCUAACUCUGUGCCAGCAGCCGCGGUAAUACAGAGGCGGCAAGCGUUGUUCGGAAUUAUUGGGCGUAAAGAGCACGUAGGCGGCUAUGUAAGUCGGUUGUGAAAGCCUUCCGCUCAACGGGAGAACAGCAUCCGAUACUGCAUGGCUUGAGUGCGGGAGGGGAGAGUGGAACUUCUGGUGGAGCGGUAAAAUGCGUAGAUAUCAGAAGGAACGCCGGCGGCGAAAGCGGCUCUCUGGCCCAUAACUGACGCUGAGUGUGCGAAAGCUAGGGGAGCAAACGGGAUUAGAUACCCCGGUAGUCCUAGCCGUAAACGAUGGGCACUAAGUAGAGGGGUUUU
rnacentral:rRNA from 1 species